CCUUCCAUAAAGACUGCUCUCAGCCAAGCCCCCGAUAGAUGUGGUGCAGCAGUGAGUUUAAGAUUAUGCUUCCUGGCAAGUACCCAGCAUGCACCGCUCCACACUGGCAGUUAUAAAUGGAACCACACGCCUGAGCCAACAUUGUGUGUUGACCUUGAGAAGCCUGACAAGGACAGGUGUCUGCGUAGGAACCCUCCGCUCCGCUGAGGAGUGCCAAGUUUAUCCUGAAAAAAUAACUUAGCAUCCCGCUCAGCACAGAUCGACCAGCGCCGAAAAGCUCACAUCUGUUUCGCCGAGCACGGCCACACUGAUUGUAGCCCGGGAGUUCCUUAAGGUCCACACGCCCAAACCCAGCGUCUCAACAAAGCCCUGGCAGACGGUUCAGCACUGAGGUGUGUGCUUCCCUGCGAAGGGUCUCAGUGCCCUUGAGGCCCUGCCCUUGAGCCCCUUGGCCUGCCUCAGUUCACUGGCAGCUGCAGUGAGCACUUCCUGUGCAUACAGACGGCUCCUGUGUUCAAAUACCUGCCUCUCUGCUUCCUGCCCACCUGCGCUCACGCUGGAGGUUGCUCAGCCUGUCCCCAGGGAAGCCCAGAAGAGAACUGCGGGUUCGAUGACUCCAGGGCAAACCCAACCAGUCAGGAAUGAGAGCCACCCGAUAAACAGCCCAGCCUGCCCACUCCUCAGUGCGACAUGUUCCAGGCUGGUCCGUGCAAUGCUAAAGGAGACCCCUGAUGGGCCCGAGCCCCAGCUGCCCACAGUGGUAACCAGCUCUCACUUCCCACUCCCCUGCCUGUGUUUCCCAGAAUCCCCUCCCGGAUCAAGUACCUGCCUCCAACGCCUGUCUCAGCUUCUGUGGUUGGGGGACCCAGAUGAGCCAUGUGUCCUUCAAAGAGUGUAUUUACAAAUUACACAAAGAAUUCGUCAACUCACGUGACCUACCCUAGGGGAUUUCUGUUCGUUAGCCUGUUAAAAGUUGAACAAUAUCCACCAAAGUUAAGACCAUUGGCUUACAAAAAAAAAAAAAAAAAAAAAGUUUAAAUGUUACCCUGAUAUGUUCUGGAAAGAAUUAUAGGGAGGGGCCAACUGUCUGUUAAGACCACUUGAAGACUGCAACAGCAAUACCAUACCCCGCAUCUUAAGAAAAUAAUCUAUGAACAAUGGAUGGCUCUUGCCAUAUUGUGUUACAAUUUCCCGAAUAUAUCUGUCUCUCCUGCAUAUGGUGAGUUGUAGGAGGGGAAACAGGGGACAUCCCUCCUUAUUAACUAUUAACAGGGUUAAUAGUCUUCCAAAAUAUCAGCCUUCUCAAAUGGUCUGUUUGCUUCUCUCUGCAUGUCCAAGGGGGAAAAGGUUUCUAUAGAAAAAAGAGGAAAUCAGGCCAAGAUAGCUCCGCGAGCUCCAUCCGAGCGUUGCAUGCCAAGCAGGCUGGAGUUUCAGGUGUAUGUUGUAAGUCUGACUUCCUUUCUCUGGGACCUGAAUGCAGUAAUAACCGCCCUGCUUGUCCCCUCCAGCGUCCACGCUCAGCCCUGUAACCUUCCGGAAGCCUCCCACUCAGCCUCUGAGCUUGGCCGUGAGCCUUCCUUUGGCCAAUGAGAUGUUGGUAGACUUGGACACAUGGAGAGGCUUGAAAAAGCGCUUGGCCUUUCUGCUCGCCUGUGCACCCCCUCCUUGCACUGAGAACGGGCUUGGGCUAGCUUGCUGGAGAACAAAAAGCUACACAAAGCAGAGCGGCGUCCCAAGCAUUCCAGCCAGCGCCCUCCCAGGCCAGCGGACAGUCAGCUAAGCCUCCGGCACAUGAGCGAGCCCAGCCAAGGCCAGCAAAACCACCCCGCUGACCUGCAGACCCAUGAGCUUCGAUACCAGGGGCUCCUGGCAGUCCCACCAGUGGAAGAAAACAACGGGCACGCUUUCCUCCAGGGCCACACGCCCGUAAAGGAUGAAGAACCAGCCCUCGGAAAAAUGUCUGCCAAGGAAAGGAGACGGCCUCACGAUGAAAAGUUAACCAAUACGUCCGCCCAUGGUUUUCCUGGUAAAUACUGGAUCUUUCUCCCGGUGAACUUAGGAGCUGGUGUACUUGGAACACCUGGAGGCUCCCGGGGAAGAAAUCGGCUGGUACUUGCAGAACAGCAGGUGGAGCCCAAACUAUACAAUCAGCACGCUCUGCACACCAACGUGGCAAGCUAGGUCAUUGCUCCAAAAGACUGUACUUUCUUGCCCCAUCGAUGACAGCCUCGGCCCCAUGACUUGCUUUGGCCAACGACCUUCACGUCAAAGUGAUAUGUGUCAUUGCUGAACCAACCUGAGGAAGCACCUCCUGACUCCCCACCUCCCUCGACAGAAUGCCACCUCUCCCUCCUCGCACUCGCGCUCGGGGCGUGUCUUCCUGGUGUGACUGGGACCCUCUGGACUUCCAGCCGCAGAAGGUGGUGACCCUGUCACCCACCCACCAGCCAGAUGCAGGGCACAGGGCACGGGCUGCGGGUGAGUCGCCUCAGUGUUCCUCACGGCAUCUGUCCCAGCUCACAUACGGCAGGUGGUGAACAUAUUUACUUGUUGAAUCGAGGGACGCACACGUGCCAGUGGUUUGAACCACAGAGUAGCAGCUGGGAUGUCCUUUUUCCGUCCCCUCUCUCUCGGGCCACCCUGAGACCAGUUCUAAGUCUACAAAGAAUCACAAUGGUUUGUGAAGGGGGGAGAUUUCCACGCGCCUGUAGAACCCCGUCAUCUGACAUUUAUACCUAUGUUCUGCUUCUUUCCACAAUUCAUUCUGUUUUUCCACUCUUUACUCCCAGCUAAUGGAAAAACGGAUUGUAAAAUGGGCCAAUGUAUUACAGGAAACUUCUCCAGCCCAGAAAAAAAAAAAAAGAGGGACCCCUCAGAGGACGGGGAUAACACUGCUCUCCGGCGGGUGGAAGAUUGAGGGCCGGCGUUUCCAACGUGCUGUACUUGGCUGCCCCCUCGCGACGCAAUGUCGCCAGCCUGGUCUUCGUCUGAGACCCCGAGAGGCCGUGAAAGCUGUCUGCACGGGAAAUACGCACAAAGGGAGAAGCGGGAGAGAGAAAGGGGACAGAUCUGUUUCACUCUCAAUGGACACGUCACGGGAACAUUCUCCGUCGUAUUUCCUGGGUCAGCGAAGGAGGCGGGGUUUUGCUCCUCUCCUUGCUCUGGAACCUGCCUCUGUUUUUCUGAGAGAAAGGGUUUUCUUAUAGCUACUCUCUUCCCAGUAGGUUCUCCACCUACUUGCCCCUCUAAGCCGAAGACUGGUCUCCCCCUCGGACCUCCUGGAGCUGGGGACUGUGACUUUUAGGGCUCGGAGGGACCGAUCAAUAGUUGACAGGACUCUUCUGGAGGGCAGACACCCUGGCGAUCUCUGUCCUCUGCUAUUUCAGAUCUCCCAUUAAGGAUUCUCAAUGAAAUUGCAGAAUCCAAUUGGUGAAGCAGCUCCCAGCCCGAGACGGGGGAAGGAAUUUCUGACGUGAAGCGGGCUUUCUAACCUGGAGUCCAUGUUUACAGGACGCAGGUGCACCUCAGAGCAGUGAGGUGGGUGGCUGUGGGGCUCCCUCUGACACUGGGGGACGACCCCUGGGGGCCACCCACAUGCGUUUCCCUGCUGCCCCUUCUUGCUUCCCUCCAUCCCUGUAUCUCACCUCCUCCCACACCACCAGCAAGGCAGGACAAAUGUUUUCACUUGAGAAGAACCUGAAUCCACGGGAGGUCAAUUAUACGCCAAAGUCUACGCAUCCUGUUAGUGCAGGACUGGGAUCCAGCUUUGCACAGGCACAGAUUUGGUUUUCAUCCCUGUUCCUGGCACAGAGUUCCAGAAGCCCUUGGAAUUUCCUAAGUGCUGAGAGCCCUAAAGGUGUCUUUUGUUAUGUUAAUGAAGCGACUUCUGGAAAGCACCUGAGAAUGGGGCUGGUUGCCAGGGGGAAGCAACCGUGUGAUUGGGAGGUUGGAAAUUCCAGUCCCACCCCCACCCCCACCCCAAACCUCCAGGGAGGGGAGAGGGGCCGGGGGUGGGAUCAAUUUAAAGAAUCACGCCUCUGUAACGAAGCCUCCAGAAAAACCCGAAAGGUUGGCGUUCGGGGUUGGGAGAGCCCCCGGGUUGAUGGGCACGUGGAGUUGCAGGGAGAGUGGGUGCUGGGAGAGCUUGGCCCCGCGCCCUUUCCCCACGCCUUGCCCUGGGAUGUUCCUGAAUUGUAUCCUAUGCAGUAAACCAGCAAUCUAGUAAGAAAAAUGUUUCUCUGAGAUCUUUGAGCCUGCUCCAGCAAAUUACUCAAACCCUAAGAGGGGAUCGUUGGAACCUUCAAGCUAUAGCCAGUGGGCCAGACCAUAGGUGACCACUUGGCCUUGUGAUUGGCAUCUGAAGGGGCUGGGGAGGCAGUCUUGUGGGACUGAGCCCUUGACCCAUGGAACCUGACGCUCUCUCCCGGUAGACAGUGUCAGAAUUGAGCUCAACUGUAGGACACCCAGCUGGUAUCUUUACCCACUUACGAUUCAUCCUGGGGCUGGACACUGGCCACCCUCCCCAAAUUUGGGAUUUGGGGAUUAGCAAGGAGGAGGAAAGAAUGGCUGCCAAUGCGGCUACUUUGGGGAGUGGGUUCAGGCUACAGCAAGGUGUCAGGGAUGGGAGCUCAUACGGUUCUCUGGGGAGACUCCGACCAGAGUCCCGGGGAAGGAUGGAAUGAUGUUCAACUGACCUCGUGGCUCUUCGGACGAGGCUCGUCGCUGUCAUGGAUGAAAGGGGUGAGGCCAAGGGCUCGUGACGCGUGCACGGAAGGUUCAGAAAUCACAUGAGACGUCUGCAUAACCAGCACCGGGGGCGCGCCACAAAGGAAAAGAAUAGAAGCCUGGCUCUCCGGACCCUGUGGCCUCAUGUGAACUUCUUAAACAGAAGAUGGAGAGCCGAGAUUUUUAAAAGGAAAAGCAACUCAGGUGUGAGUUGGGGAGGACACUU